rnacentral:rRNA from 1 species
GGAGGGUGCAAGCGUUAUCCGGAUUCACUGGGUUUAAAGGGUGCGUAGGCGGGCAGGUAAGUCCGUGGUGAAAUCUCCGAGCUUAACUCGGAAACUGCCAUGGAUACUAUUUGUCUUGAAUACUGUGAAGGUGAGCGGAAUAUGUCAUGUAGCGGUGAAAUGCUUAGAUAUGACAUAGAACACCAAUUGCGAAGGCAGCUCACUGCGCAGUGAUUGACGCUGAGGCACGAAAGCGUGGGGAUCAAACAGGAUUAGAUACCCUGGUAGUCCACGCCCUAAACGAUGGAUACUCGACAUACGUGAUAUGACAAUGUGUGUCUGAGCGAAAGCAUUAAGUAUCCCACCUGGGAAGUACGACCGCAAGGUUGAA